AUUGAACGCUGGCGGCAGGCCUAACACAUGCAAGUCGAACGAGGGGCGGACGGGUGAGUAAUGUCUGGGAAACUGCCUGAUGGAGGGGGCUAACUACUGGAAACGGUAGCUAAUCCCGCAUACCAUCAGAUGUGCCCAGAUGGGAUUAGCUAGUAGGUGGGGUAAUGGCUCACCUAGGCGACUAUCCCUAGCUGGUCUGAGAGGAUGACCAGCCACACUGGAACUGAGACACGGUCCAUACUCCUCCGGGAGGCAGCGGUGGGGAAUUUUGCACAAUGGGCGAAAGCCUGAUGCAGCCAUGCCGGGUGUGUGAAGAAGGCCUUCGGGUUGUAAAGCACGUUCAGCGAGGAGGCGUUACUCGCAGAAGAAGCACCGGCUAACUCCGUGCCAGCAGCCGGGGUAUUC
rnacentral:rRNA from 1 species